rnacentral:lncRNA from 1 species
AGAGCUAAGCUAAAAACUUUUUAUUCAUUUAUAUAUUUCUCUAGCAAUGGGACAUCCUAAUAUUUUAAGAUAUCAAUUAUGUUGUAAAAUAGGCGCUGUUCGCACAAUCCGCUUUAAUUGUAUGUUUUGUAAACUAAUUAUAUUGUAAAGCUCUUUGUUUUUGUUGCUAAACCCUUUUAUUUACUUUUAGUUGAUGGAAACUAUUGCAUGACCGGUGGAUCUGAUAAAUCAAUGAAAUUAUGGGGAUAUUAGAUUCCUCGGCAAUCAUCGAUCUUGAAGACUUAUAUGGGGCAUGGAUAUAAAGUCUUAGAUGCUUAAUCUUCAGCAAAUAGCUCACAUAUAGUAUCCGGUGGAAUGGACAAAAAGCAUUUUUUAAUGGGACGUUAGAACAGCUCAAAUAAUAAGAAAGUUUCGACGUCAUGCAGGUCAUGACGAUGCUAUAAAAUUCAACGAAGAAUCUAGUUUUACUAUCUGCUUCAGUUUAUAAUACUGCUUGUGCAUGGGAUUGCCUUAGCAAGUCUCGCGAGCCUGUUCAGUAGAAUCAUGGCUGUUGAGAGUGCAGAUGAAUUUUAUUGCAUUAUGGGUGUUCUCACACGUGAGAUUUUAGAGUUUGGUCUUAUGGAUGCAGAUAUGUUUGUUAAGGUUCAGUCAACUGUGUUAACUUCACAAAAGAUGGUCUUGUCUUCUUGCUAGCAGUUUAGACAAUACUUCGCGACUUACAGAUAAAGACGGGGGUGAAGUGCGUUCUGAGUAAUUAUCAUUAUUUAUUUUAACUUUGUUAACUUUUAACUCUAAAAUUACUUCAGACAUUGAGUAGAUUUAUUUACGUUUCACUUCUUAUCAAGUUUUUGACAAUUUUACCAUUGAUAGAACCGACACAUCAAAAAACUGUUUUAAACUUAAUUAACUAAAUAUCCUUAUUAAUAUAAGUUUGUUAUUUUCACCUAAAAUUAGCUCAUUGAAGUAAUUUUAUGUAUUUAAAUCUUCAGUUACCACUUUUCUUGUACAGAUUAAACUUAUGUUGAAAAGUAAAUUUCUCAGAAAAAAAAAUAUCCUUUUUAUACGCAAAUGUACUUUAUAUAUGAACACUAUAUGCUAACAAAAGAUCUGCUUGCUGAAAGCUCUGUAAUUGUUAAGUUACUUUUAAUAAGACAUUUUAACUAUUGAAAAGUACCUUAAACAUUCUAACAAUUAUUUAUAUCUUCAUUCCUUUACAUAGAAUAAAAUAAGGUGAUUUGAAGCUCUUAAGUUUAAAAGUUAAAUUACUAAUUACAAAAUAUAAAAAAUUAAUGCUUUUAUCAGCUUUUUUUCUGAUUUUGUCAAUUCUGUUUUGAAACUGAUCCAAUGUUAUAAUUUGGAUUCAUUCCACUUUUAUUAAUAUUGUGCAGUUGAUAAAACAAAAUGCUGCAAAUUAUGAAAAGGAAAUAGAACAUUUUGAUUUCAAUAAUAUGAAGAUUAAAAUAAUAAUAACUCAACGUAAAGAUUUCAAAUAUUCUUUAGAAGAGUAGAAUUUUCUUAUAAAAUAAUAAAAAGAAAGUGAAGAUGAGCUGAAAUUUUGUUUAUGCUCUAAACUACACUUUCUACAUUGGCGUAAUUAUUCAUAAUAUAUUUAGUUAUAUUAUUAUAUAUUAGCAUAUGUUUAUUCAUUGGUGUAUAACUAUAGUUUAAUAAAUAUUAUAAAUAUAUUACUAAAACUUGUAUUGUAACUAUCAUUAGUUUUUAGCAAUUUUAAACAGUUUUUGGCAGUUUAUGAUACUGAAUAUGUUAAAGACCAAACCGUCCUUUCUCUUUUAAGAAAAAAUCAAGAAUACUUAUCUGUUUUUAGCAAUCAUUUUAACCCUUAUUAACUACAGUCAAUAAAAGGAAUGUAUUAACAUUUUUUAUUUGGUUUUUAUUUCUAUGUAAUAAAAAAAAGAAAUGAAAAUAUAUUAUCAAGACAAAUGAAAUAUUUGUGGAAUAUACAGCUUUCAUAAUACCUGAAACAAUUUUAAAGCUGUUACACUUACAUCAUUGUACUACUGUUAAGCCUUAACUUGCCAGAUCCCUUGGCCAAUAUACUGGCUUUUGCAGGAGUGCUUUUAUCAUAAUAAAAAUUUUUAUUGAAGGAAAAAUAAGAAUUAUAAUAGCAGAAUUUUUAUCAUAAAUACAAAUAAGUAGACUUGCAGUAAAGAAUUAACAAGAUUUUAUGUAUGCUGUAGUCUGUAUACAUCUUGUAAAUUUUUCUUUCUUUCUGUUUUUGAGCUUAGCAAAAAAAUUCAAUAAACCUGAUUAAUUGUCACCUUAUAUUUCAAUAAAAAAAUUAACAAUGUAUUUUUUUUUUGUUGCGCUAACUCUAUAAUAAAACUGUACACUAAUUUUCAACUUAUAUUUUUGUAAAAAUUGAGAAACUGCACAUACCUAUUUUUUUUCCUCCGUUCCACAUUUAAAUUGAUUUCUGACGCAAUAGCAAGACACUUCAGUGCACUAAUUGUCAACUUGUCUCAAAAGGGAUAAUUUGUUGUUGAAAAAUGUCUCUUCAUGUGCUGUUCUUCAUUUUAGUUACAAAUUCACCAUAUUCCUUAAAAUUUAAAACCCAGCUAAAGCAAAAUUAAAAUAAUUUUAUCCUAAAUCCUUAUAUUUAAGUAGAGUAGCUAGAGUAACAUUUUAUGUGCCACAUUGAUUGAGAGCUAAAGUUUACUAAAAAGAAACUAAACAAAUAUUUACCUCAUAGUCAUUAACAAAAAUUUAGUCACUAACUUGAUCAAGUGGAAUAUCAAAAAAGUGUGAUAGCUAUACUUGGCACUUCAUUAAAACAUCUGAGCUAGUUGAUAAAUAAUUUGUGCAACUUUGGCAUAGUUGUGUCUCUUGGUUGGGUAGAGGGCGGUUAAAAAAAUUAAACAUAAUGUAUUAAAUACUGCUGCCAUUUCAACAAAGAAACUCCUUCAACAGAUACUAUCUUUCGAAUCUUAAUUUCUGUCUUUCAGUCGAAUAUUGUCUUUCGAAUCUUAAUCUUAAAGGACUACUCUCGUUAUUUUAAAAUACAAUUGAGUAUAAUUUCAUUUAAAAUGUAUUCAUUUUUAGAACAAAAAUGUAUAAUUACCUCUGGAGAGACUUUUAGGUCAUUUAAAAAAGUGAAACACGGUUUUGUAUCUUAUUCUUGAAAUUUUCAGGUAUCAUUUUGAUAGUAACAGAAGAUUUAUGCUUAGUCCAUGCAAUGAAGGCACACAUAAGUUUUAUGGUCCCAGGAAACAAUCUUGCAAUGUUAUAUUGAUUUGUUAUUGAUCUGUUAUAUUGAAUGUUAUAUUGAUAGAAAUUUCAAUGAAGUUUUCACUGUUAAAAAUUGUUUGAAAUAACAGAAUAAAGUUUACUUUUUUUUUCUUUGAAAAUAUGUUUAAUUUUGUUAGUCUGGUUAUUGUGAAUUCAUGUGUUUGUUUAUUUAAUAGUUGAAAUCCAAAUAUUAAUUUUUUAUUUAAAUGCAGCUUGAUUCUAUUGCAUGGAAUUAUAAUAGUUUGUAAGUUUUAUUAUUAUUAUUAUUAUUGUUUUAUUUUUAUUUAUUUAUUUAUUUCCGUUUUAUCUGUCAUACUUAUUUUUGAAGCUUCUGAACUCUUUAUGCAAAAGUUUUCUAUAAAAUAUUUUAUUUUUUAAAUAUGUUGGCAGUAAAAAAUAAAGACAGUCACUUUGAA